rnacentral:rRNA from 1 species
AGAUUUUGGGCGUAAGAGCUCGUAGGCGGUUUGUCGCGUCUGCUGUGAAAGACCGGGGCUCAACUCCGGUUCUGCAGUGGGUACGGGCAGACUAGAGUGCACUAGGGGAGACUGGAAUUCCUGGUGUAGCGGUGAAAUGCGCAGAUAUCAGGAGGAACACCGAUGGCGAAGGCAGGUCUCUGGGCUGUAACUGACGCUGAGGAGCGAAAGCAUGGGGAGCGAACAGGAUUAGAUACCCUGGUAGUCCAUGCCGUAAACGUUGGGCACUAGGUGUGGGGGACAUUCCACGUUUUCCGCGCCGUAGCUAACGCAUUAAGUGCCCCGCCUGGGGAGUACGGCCGCAAGGCUAAAACUCAAAGGAAUUGACGGGGGCCCGCACAAGCGGCGGAGCAUGCGGAUUAAUUCGAUGCAACGCGAAGAACCUUACCAAGGCUUGACAUGAACCGGUAAUACCUGGAAACAGGUGCCCCGCCUGCGGUCGGUUUACAGGUGGUGCAUGGUUGUCGUCAGCUCGUGUCGUGAGAUGUUGGGUUAAGUCCCGCAACGAGCGCAACCCUCGUUCUAUGUUGCCAGCGCGUUAUGGCGGGGACUCAUAGGAGACUGCCGGGGUCAACUCGGAGGAAGGUGGGGACGACGUCAAAUCAUCAUGCCCCUUAUGUCUUGGGCUUCACGCAUGCUACAAUGGCCGGUACAAAGGGUUUGCGAUACUGUGAGGUGGAGCUAAUCCCAAAAAGCCGGUCUCAGUUCGGAUUGGGGGUCUGCAACUCGACCCCAUGAAGUCGGAGUCGCUAGUAAUCGCAGAUCAGCAACGCUUGCCGUUGAAUACGUUCCCCGGGGCCUUGUACACACCGCCCGUCAAGUCACGAAAGUUGGUAACACCCGAAUGCCGGUGGCCUAACCCUUUGGUGGGGGGGGAGGCCGUCGAAUGUGGGA